GCCAUGUAAUAAGGACUACCCACUAUCUCAUUAAAUCUCUCACCAGGUUUAAAGAAGACUGACAAUCCAAAAUCAAUUGCUUUUAAGGGGGCAUUUUCCUUCUUAUUUGCAAAUAGAAAGUUCUCUGGUUUGAGAUCACGAUGCAUAACUCCAUGUUUAUGGCACAUCUGAACAACUUCCACAAUAGUCCGCAUAACCGCAGCAGCAGCCCUUUCAGUGUAAUGCCCCCG
rnacentral:misc_RNA from 1 species